rnacentral:rRNA from 1 species
GACGAACGCUGGCGGCGUGCCUAACACAUGCAAGUCGGACGGAUCAGGGAUGACAGCUUGCUGUAGUUCCUGGUUAGUGGCGGACGGGUGAGUAACGCGUGAGGACCUACCCUGGAGAGGGGGAUAACGGCUGGAAACGGCUGCUAAUACCCCGUAAGCCGGAGGGUGAAAGGGAGCGAUCUGCUCCGGGGCGGCCUUGCGUCCUAUCAGCUAGUUGGUGGGGUAAAGGACUACCAAGCCGACGACGGGUAGCCGGUCUGAGAGGAUGGCCGGCCACAAGGGCACUGAGAGACGGGCCCUACUCCUACGGGAGGCAGCAGUGGGGGAUUUUGGACAAUGGAGGGAACUCUGAUGCAGCGACGCCGCGUGAGUGAAGAAGGUCUUCGGAUCGUAAAACUCUGUCCUUGGUGAAGAAAAGGACGGUAGCCAAGGAGGAAGCCCGGCUAACUACGUG